rnacentral:lncRNA from 1 species
CAGCCAGUACCAUUUGAUUCUCCCUUGCCCUCACACUUUGUUACUACGGGUAGAAAGAUAGACUUUGAUUUUUCAGAGUGUGAAGGAUUUUCAAUUGAAAAUAAGAUCAAAAGGAUGGGUUGGGAGUUCUUUUGUUGUUUGGAUAUACCCACUUACCCCAAUUUAGUAAGAGAAUUUUAUAGUAAUGUCAAAGUAGGGGUGGGAAGUGUUG